UUGAUUAGGGUUUGGUUUAGGAUUUAGGAUUUGAUUUAGGAUUUGAUUGGAAUUUGGUUUAAGAUUUGUUUAGGAUUUGAUUUAGAGUUUAGGAUUUGAUUAGGGUUUGGUUUAGGAUUUAGGAUUUAGUUUGGGAUUUAGGGUUUGAUUUAGGAUUUAGGAUUUUAUUAGGAUUUGUUUAGGAUUUAAGAUUUAAUUAAUUUUGGCCUAAAGUUUGAAUGAAGUCCAAUAGGAUUUUAACUAGAAUAAAUUUAAGAUUGAAUUGAGAUAUAUUUGAGAGAUA
rnacentral:lncRNA from 1 species